UACAGAGGGUGCGAGCGUUAAUCGGACUUACUGGGCGUAAAGCGUGCGUAGACGGUUAUCUAAGUCGGAUGUGAAAGCCCCGGGCUCAACCUGGGAAUUGCAUUCGAGACUGAAUAGCUAGGGUGCGGUAGAGGGAAGCGGAAUUUCCGGUGUAGCGGUGAAAUGCGUAGAUAUGCGGAGGAACACCGAUGGCGAAGGCAAUCCCCUGGGCCUGCACUGACGCUCAUGCACGAAAGCGUGGGGAGCAAACAGG
rnacentral:rRNA from 1 species